rnacentral:lncRNA from 1 species
GGGUGUUUGCGCAUGCAUAUAUUUAUAAAGCCAUGCGAUAAUUGGUGGGUAGACAAAGGUACAGCAAGGAGUAGGUAGUAAACACUAUGAAUUGUUCCUUAACUAAACAGAAGAGUCAAAGAGAGAAUCUCAGUAUAAAGCUUAAACAAUUCAUUCACUUCUCUAUAUACUUUCUUAAAGGCAAUGUCCUCUCACUAUAUAGUAGUUACUAUAUUAUGAAAAAUAUUAAUUAGCUGCAAGAUUAUAUGGGUCGAUCGUGCCCUUUCUUUUCAUGGUUUGUUGUUGCAUUAUUACAGUGGACAAUAGAUAUGAGGUGUACCAUAUUUUCCGG